rnacentral:misc_RNA from 1 species
GUGUCAGGAGCUCCAUCUGCUGGGCGA